rnacentral:lncRNA from 1 species
UGUUUGGACUCCAUAUUGAUGACAUACCAUUGGUCAUGAUGAAUAAUAGAGAAAACAAAAUAAAGACUUAGAUCAAACUAAUACAAACUAACCUAUAGCAUAACAUUGAUUUAAGCAUUACUUUUCAGUAGAAUAGAUAACAUAAGUACAUAUGUAGAGCUAAACAAGUAUACCACAUAAGUAUAAAAAAUAGUAAAAUAGUUUUAAAAAUAUUUUAUGCAUGUUCCACAUUUAAGCCUAUGUUAAAAGUUAUAAGAUUUACUUAUAUUUCUCACUCAUAUAAAGAUUUAAAAUAUAAAAUCUGUAAAUAAAAUUUUAGAUAGAUCUAUGAUAUAGAUCUAAAAAUAAAGAUAGAUAUAUGAUAUAGAUCUAAAAAUAACUUAUACUUCAAGACCUAUAGAAACAAAAC